UACGAAGGGGGCUAGCGUUGUUCGGAUUUACUGGGCGUAAAGCGCACGUAGGCGGAUUGUUAAGUGAGAGGUGAAAUCCCGGAGCUCAACUCCGGAACUGCCUUUCAUACUGGCAAUCUAGAGUCCGGAAGAGGUGAGUGGAACUCCUAGUGUAGAGGUGGAAUUCGUAGAUAUUAGGAAGAACACCAGUGGCGAAGGCGGCUCACUGGUCCGGUACUGACGCUGAGGUGCGAAAGCGUGGGGAGCAACAGGAUUAAG
rnacentral:rRNA from 1 species